AGUUUGACUACACUGAGUCCAGCUGAUCUCUGUGUUCAUCUUCCUUAGAGUUUGUUGAACUUACUUCUGGCUUGUUGGAUGUGAAGAUUAACUUUUUAAAAUCACAUUUGGAAAGUUUUGGCCAUUGUUUUUUUCAAAUACUUUUCUGCUUUUUCUCUUCUUUUGACUUCCUUUACAGUCAUAUUGAUAUUCUUGAUGGUACCCCUCAUGUCUCUGAGAUCUGAGGUGGACCAGCAAGAAUCUCAA